rnacentral:pre_miRNA from 1 species
UUUGGUAUUUAAAAGGUGGAUAUUCCUUCUAUGUUUAUGUUGUUUAUGGUUAAACAUAGAGGAAAUUCUACAUUUUCAGUAUCAAA